UGGAGAAUCUUGCACAAUGGGGGAAACCCUGAUGCAGCAACGCCGCGUGAAGGAAGAAGGCCCUUGGGUCGUAAACUUCUUUUCUAAGGGAAGAUAAUGACGGUACCUUAGGAACAAGUCCCGGCUAACUACGUGCCAGCAGCCGCGGUAAUACGUAGGGGGCGAGCGUUAUCCGGAAUUAUUGGGCGUAAAGAGUACGUAGGUGGUUUCCUAAGCAUGGGGGUUAAGGCAAUGGCUCAACGGGUGUUCGCCCUAUGAACUGGGUGACUUGAGUGCGGGAGGGGAAAGCGGAAUUCCGAGUGUAGCGGUGAAAUGCGUAGAUAUUAGGAGGAACACCAGUGGCGAAGGCGGCUUUCUGGACAGUAACUGACACUGAGGUACGAAAGUGUGGGGAGCAAACA
rnacentral:rRNA from 1 species